CCUACGGGGGGCAGCAGUGGGGAAUAUUGCGCAAUGGGGGCAACCCUGACGCAGCAACGCCGCGUGAUUGAAGAAGGCCUUCGGGUUGUAAAGAUCUUUAAACAGGGACGAAGAAAUGACGGUACCUGAAGAAUAAGCUCCGGCUAACUACGUGCCAGCAGCCGCGGUAAUACGUAGGGAGCAAGCGUUAUCCGGAUUUACUGGGUGUAAAGGGCGUGUAGGCGGGCCUGUAAGUCAGAAGUGAAAUUUGGGGGCUUAAACACCAAACUGCAUUUGAAACUGCGGGUCUUGAGUGCUGGAGAGGCAGGCGGAAUUCCCAGUGUAGCGGUGAAAUGCGUAGAUAUUGGGAGGAACACCAGUGGCGAAGGCAGCCUGCUGGACAUUAACUGACGCUGAGGCGCGAAAGCGUGGGGAGCAAACAGGAUUAGAUACCCCUGUAGUC
rnacentral:rRNA from 1 species